UGGCGCUGGAACGCACGGCCUCUGGCCAGCGCUAAUAUGUGGGCGAUAGGAGCGAGUGCGGCAAUGUAUUCCGCCGCGAGUAGGAGUGUGUGUUAGGCAGCACAUUUCUUUAUUUAAAGGAUGGGCUGCGAUUGCUAGCUGAUGUCAGGUUUGUGAGGUUCGCCUACUAAGUGAUUUGUCUCUGAACCUGAGCAUCUGAUUUUCCAUGUGCAAAUUGUCUCACUAUAAGGUUCACCUACUAAGUGAUUUGUCUUUGAACCUGAGGAUCUGAUUUUCCAUGUGCAAAUUGUCUCACUACAAGGUACGUGUUGCUUUCCCUGACCAGCUAAUUGGGUCUUAUAUAUAGCGUCAUUUAGCUUAAUGCACUUGAUGUAAUUGUUUUUAUUAGGCUUGACUGAGUGGCCAAUUUGAAGUCCUAGGGACCUAUAGGGUCUUGUCAUCAAGCAUUCACGAAUGAGCCGUUGAGAUUGUGGUUCUAUAUACUAUUCAUACUUACCAUUUA